rnacentral:rRNA from 1 species
GAUGAACGCUGGCGGCGUGCCUAAUACAUGCAAGUCGAGCGAACGGGCGAGGAGCUUGCUUCUCUGAUGUUAGCGGCGGACGGGUGAGUAACACGUGGAUAACCUACCUAUAAGACUGGGAUAACUUCGGGAAACCGUAGCUAAUACCGGAUAAUAUUUUGAACCGCAUGGUUCAAAAGUGAAAGACGGUCUUGCUGUCACUUAUAGAUGGAUCCGCGCUGCAUUAGCUAGUUGGUAAGGUAACGGCUUACCAAGGCAACGAUGCAUAGCCGACCUGAGAGGGUGAUCGGCCACACUGGAACUAAGACACGGUCCAGACUCCUACGGGAAGCAGCAGUAGGGAAUCUUCCGCAAUGGGCGAAAGCCUGACGGAGCAACGCCGCGUGAGUGAUGAAGGUCUUCGGAUCGUAAAACUCUGUUAUUAGGGAAGAACAUAUGUGUAAGUAACUGUGCACAUCUUGACGGUACCUAAUCAGAAAGCCACGGCUAACUACGUG